AGGGUUCGAUCAUGGCUCAGGAUGAACGCUGGCGGCGUGCCUAACACAUGCAAGUUGAACGAAGACAUACCGACGGAAUCCUUCGGGAGGAAGAUGGUAUGGACUGAGUGGCGGACGGGUGAGUAACGCGUGGGUAACCUGCCCUGUACAGGGGGACAACAGUUAGAAAUGACUGCUAAUACCGCAUAAGCGCACAGUACCGCAUGGUACAGUGUGAAAAACUCCGGUGGUACAGGAUGGGCCCGCGUCUGAUUAGUUAGUUGGCGGGGUAACGGCCCACCAAGACGACGAUCAGUAGCCGGCUUGAGAGAGUGAGCGGCCACAUUGGGACUGAGACACGGCCCAA
rnacentral:rRNA from 1 species